CCUACGGGUGGCAGCAGUGAGGAAUAUUGGUCAAUGGACGAGAGUCUGAACCAGCCAAGUAGCGUGUAGGAUGACUGCCCUAUGGGUUGUAAACUUCUUUUAUAUGGGAAUAAAACGUUCCACGUGUGGGAUUUUGUAUGUACCAUAUGAAUAAGGAUCGGCUAACUCCGUGCCAGCAGCCGCGGUAAUACGGAGGAUCCGAGCGUUAUCCGGAUUUAUUGGGUUUAAAGGGAGCGUAGGUGGAUUGUUAAGUCAGUUGUGAAAGUUUGCGGCUCAACCGUAAAAUUGCAGUUGAAACUGGCAGUCUUGAGUACAGUAGAGGUGGGCGGAAUGCGUGGUGUAGCGGUGAAAUGCUUAGAUAUCACGAAGAACUCCGAUUGCGAAGGCAGUUCACUGGACUGCAACUGACACUGAGGCUCGAAAGUGUGGGUAUCAAACAGGAUUAGAUACCCCGGUAGUC
rnacentral:rRNA from 1 species